rnacentral:rRNA from 1 species
UACGUAGGGUGCAAGCGUUAUCCGGAAUUAUUGGGCGUAAAGAGCUCGUAGGCGGUUUGUCGCGUCUGCUGAUGAAAACUGGGGCUCAACCCCCAGCCUGCAGUGGGUACGGGCAGACUAGAGUGCGGGUAGGGAGAUUGGAAUUCCUGGUGUAAGCGGUGGAAUGCGCAGAUAUCAGGAGGAACACCGAUGGCGAAGGCAGAUCUCUGGGCCGUAACUGACGCUGAGGAGCGAAAGCAUGGGGAGCGAACAGG